rnacentral:rRNA from 1 species
UACGGAGGGGGCUAGCGUUGUUCGGAAUUACUGGGCGUAAAGCGCACGUAGGCGGCUUUGCAAGUUAGAGGUGAAAGCCCGGGGCUCAACUCCGGAAUUGCCUUUAAAACUGCAUCGCUAGAAUUGUGGAGAGGUAAGUGGAAUUCCGAGUGUAGAGGUGAAAUUCGUAGAUAUUGGAAGAACACCAGUGGCGAAGGCGACUUACUGGACACAUAUUGACGCUGAGGUGCGAAAGCGUGGGGAGCAAACAGG